GGAAACUGGGUCUAAUACCGGAUAGGACCGCAUGGCGCAUGUUGUGUGGUGGAAAGCUUUUGCGGUGCGGGAUGGGCCCGCGGACUAUCAGCUUGUUGGUGGGGUGAUGGCCUACCAAGGCGACGACGGGUAGCCGGCCUGAGAGGGUGUCCGGCCACACUGGGACUGAGAUACGGCCCAGACUCCUACGGGAGGCAGCAGUGGGGAAUAUUGCACAAUGGGCGCAAGCCUGAUGCAGCGACGCCGCGUGGGGGAUGACGGCCUUCGGGUUGUAAACCUCUUUCAGCUACGACGAAGCGCAAGUGACGGUAGUAGCAGAAGAAGCACCGGACAACUACGUGCCAGCAGCCGCGGUAAUACGUAGGGUGCGAGCGUUGUCCGGAAUUACUGGGCGUAAAGAGCUCGUAGGUGGUUUGUCGCGUUGUUCGUGAAAACUCACAGCUUAACUGUGGGCGUGCGGGCGAUACGGGCAGACUGGAGUACUGCAGGGGAGACUGGAAUUCCUGGUGUAGCGGUGGAAUGCGCAGAUAUCAGGAGGAACACCGGUGGCGAAGACGGGUCUCUGGGCAGUAACUGACGCUGAGGAGCGAAAGCGUGGGGAGCGAACAGGAUUAGAUACCCUGGUAGUCCACGCCGUAAACGGUGGGUACUAGGUGUGGGUUUCCUUCCUUGGGAUCCGUGCCGUAGCUAACGCAUUAAGUACCCCGCCUGGGGAGUACGGCCGCAAGGCUAAAACUCAAAGGAAUUGACGGGGGCCCGCACAAGCGGCGGAGCAUGUGGAUUAAUUCGAUGCAACGCGAAGAACCUUACCUGGGUUUGACAUGCAC
rnacentral:rRNA from 1 species